rnacentral:lncRNA from 1 species
GACCCAUGGGAGCCCAGGAGUGAGUCUGUGGGGCUGGGACCCACGGCUGGCGGGGAGGGAGGGGGUGUGGGGCGGUGUGGGGCGCCCCAUAGGGAAGGGGGGGCGGUUAUGGGGUGCCCCACAUGUGGGCACCCGUGGUUUGGGGAUUGGGAACUGGAAAUGUUUGGGGAGGGGGUUGUGGGGCGGCUAUGGGGCGCAGUAAGGGGGGGGGGGGGCUAGGGGGCAGGGGGCAAGGGGGGCGGGGGGGGGGGGGGGGGGGGGGGGGGGGGGGCUAUGGGGCACGGCGCAAUGGGGGCUGUGGGGCAGGUGGUUGAUUUGGGUGUGAGGCUAUGGGGCAAAGCGGGGGCGCUAUGGGGCACGGCAUGGGGUGCUAUGGGGCACGGCACGCCUCGCUAUGGGGCAGGGCGGUGGGUCACUAUGGGAUUCAGUGCAGGUGCUAUAGGGCACAGCAGUGGGGCGCUAUGGGGCACGGCACGGUGGGCUGCUGUGGGGCACGCUGUGGGGCACACAAUGGGCGCUAUGGGGCAGGAUAUGGGCACUAUGGGGCACAAUCUAGGUGCUAUGGGGCACACUGGGCGCUAUGGGGUGCUAUGGGGCAGCACAGCAGGCUGCUAUGGGGCACAAUAUGGGCGCUAUGGGGCACACAAGGGGCACUACGGGGCGCUAUGGGGCACAAUAUGGGUGUUAUGGGGCGCUAUGGGGCACAGCACAGGUGCUAUGGGGCUCUAUGGGGUGCUAUGGGGCACACUGUGGGGCGCUAUGGGGCACUAUGGGGCGCUGU